rnacentral:rRNA from 1 species
GAUGAACGCUGGCGGCGUGCUUAACACAUGCAAGUCGAACGGAAAGGCCCAAGCUUGCUUGGGUACUCGAGUGGCGAACGGGUGAGUAACACGUGGGUGAUCUGCCCUGCACUUCGGGAUAAGCCUGGGAAACUGGGUCUAAUACCGGAUAGGACCACGUCUUGGAUGUUGUGGUGGACAGUUUUUUCGGUGUGGGAUGAGCUCGCGGCCUAUCAGCUUGUUGGUGGGGUAAUGGCCUACCAAGGCGUCGACGGGUAGCCGGCCUGAGAGGGUGUACGGCCACAUUGGGACUGAGAUACGGCCCAGACUCCUACGGGAGGCAGCAGUGGGGAAUAUUGCACAAUGGGCGCAAGCCUGAUGCAGCGACGCCGCGUGGGGGAUGACGGCCUUCGGGUUGUAAACUCCUUUCGCUAGGGACGAAGCGUUUUUGUGACGGUACCUGGAGAAGAAGCACCGGCUAACUACGUG